rnacentral:rRNA from 1 species
UAAUAGUGUAUAUUAAAGUUGUUGCAGUUAAAAAGCUCGUAGUUGAAUGUUGGUGUCGAACGAGCGGUCAGCUUCGGCUGUACUGCUCUCUCGACUCCUUCCUUCUGUGGACUACGUCGCACUUUACUGUGUGGCGCUAGGACGCAGAUCGUUUACUGUGAAAAAAUUAGGGUGUUCAAAGCAGGCCGUACGCUUGAAUACAUUAGCAUGGAAUAAUGGAAUAGGACGUCGGGCCUAUUUUGUUGGUUCUAGGACCGUCGUAAUGAUUAAUAGGGACAGUUGGGGCCGUUUAUAUUCCGUAGUCAGAGGUGAAAUUCUCGGAUUUACGGAAGAUAAACUACUGCGAAAGCAUUCGGCAAGGAUGUUUUCGUUAA